rnacentral:pre_miRNA from 1 species
GGAAUAUAAGAAACUGUCUCUUAACUUUUAACUAAAAAAGUUAAGAACCGUCUCUUAAAACUCUUAUUUAAGAGCCGGUUCUUAAUUUUUUUAGUUAAAAGUUAAGAGACAAGUUCUUAUAUUCC